rnacentral:lncRNA from 1 species
AGAACUAGUGUACAAGCUUAACAGAGUCACAGUGUCCAACAUGAACACUAAAAGCUGCUGUUUCUGUUUUACAGUGCUGUGGAGGAAACCUGGGGCCUGACACUGGAAAAGAGCAUGUUUAAAGUGCUGCAACAGUGGAUACCCAGCAGAAAGACAUGAAUCACUGAGAUGGCUGCUGGGACAGUAAACUGGACUGCGACAAGAUCACAUGAAGUUGUAGCACAAACACUGGGAAUACAAAGGUAAAAGACAGCACACACUGGAGCAAACACCACGUGGCUUAAGUUUCCUAAGCCAAGUGUUUUCCAGAAAGACAAAUGACGUGACUACUGCAGCCCAAGUAUGACUCAACCCUAGAGUGAUUUCCCUGAAGCAUCUGUGAAGGUGGAGGAAUCAGAUACAAACACCAUCACUCACCUGCAUCUCACCAGGCAAUCUUACCUCAGAGUACACUCCAUCUCCACUUCAGAUUCUGCAGAGAAAACACGGAAAGCGUACUUGUCAAGUAACAGGGAAAAGCUAUCCCCGGGAUGCAACUGGCUCCACACUUGCGUCUCCAUAGGCGAGUGUUGGCUCUUCU